AUUAUUCCAGGUGGUUCAUAGGUGUGAUGGUUGGUUUUUCUCACUACUGUGGGACAUGUGUCUCCAUCAAACUAGCUAUGAUGUCAGCACACUAUCUGUUUGACA
rnacentral:snoRNA from 1 species